GCAAAUUUACACUGAAUCUCAAGAGAUUACCGCCAUAUUAUCAUCGCUUGGUUUUCAUUCCCCAAUACCAUUAAUCUGAAUAAGAAUGUUAUUAAACCGAAGGUUUAUGGAUUUACUUUGUAUUUGUUUCCUACCUAUAAUAUACGCGUGAAGGUAUUUGACAUGAUCCACGUUUGUCAAACGUGUUUCCAGGUCAGCUAAUCUACUGAUUGAUGUUCGAUAAAUUGCAUUUAUUCAGUUUCUUCUGGGAGGUCAACAUCCAUAUUUCAAAAAAUAUUGUCUAAUUCGCAGUUGACAAGAAUCCCAUACCCACUUAGAAGUUUAGAUAAUACUCCGUUUAUUAAUAUAGAUUCGAUUGGUUUUUUAAUCUUUGAAUGGUUUAAUAGCAUCUUUAUCCCAGUUUUUCUUGAUGGGUUUUUAGGAUAAUGGACCAUUUAAUUAAAUGAAAAGGAAAUAAAUAGGCUGUAACCUAUCCUUAAUUAGAGAUUUUCGGAACCGUUUUGAAAGAGGUUUCUAAAGGCACGUGUCAGCGUGGGAGUAAAAGUUGAUUUUUUUUUAUGUUCUUUAUUUUUCUUCAUCUCAUUAAUUCUGUCUUUCUUUCUUCGUCUUCUCCGCUCCUCUCGUGAUCUCUGCAGGGGACGAUGCCCUCCUCCGCAUCAAUUUCAUGACCUUCUUCUCUAGCUAUUCUCUCAGUCCAAACUCCAUUUCCACUCUCCUUUUCCAUCUUCACUCUCAAAACUGGAGUCUUCUCAAUAACCAGAAUUCCUGAUCUUCGUUCUUCUCUGAUUGCUUGCCGGCGACCCCUCAAUCUAAUCAACGCGGAGGGAUGAUGAGGAAUCGAUCGAUCAUACCUGAGUAUGAGUUCGAUGAUGAGGAUUAGAUCGAUCUUGUAUGUUUUCAUCUCCACGAAUCUGGUGAGUUUGUUCAGUGGAUCAUUGCGUUUUUGUGGAUCUUUAAGGCAUUUCUCGAGGUAAAGAUUCAUCCUUUAGUCUUGUUGGAGGCUUAAAUAGGAGCAAAUUGUUUUGUUGCCUAUUAACUGAUUUAGUCUUGUUGGAUGUUUAAUUGAUUGAGAUGUUUCUUCGUUAUUGGAUUAACUGAUUUUUGGUGAAGAAUGUAUAUGCCAUAAGUUAUAAUUAGCGAGGAUAGCAUCAAGUUAAGAGCUUUGUUUAUUGAGUUGUUGCAGUGAAUGAUCUAUGUAUAUUAAUUCUUUUUUAAUGUCUUGAUCCCAACGCUUUGGUGCCUUCUCGAUUUGAUCAAGAGUAUGUUCUGAUUGGAGCCAACGCCUCUAAUCCUCUCGAUGUACUCGUCGUUGGCGGUGGAGCCACUGGUUCUGGAGUGGUGCUCGAUGCUGUGACGCGUGGCCUCCGUGUUGGUCUGGUGGAGCGGGAAGAUUUCUCGUCGGGGACGUCUUCGCGUUCAACGAAGCUUAUCCAUGGAGAUCCAACGAUAGAUUUUGGUCUCGUAAAUUGAUAGAGCCGACAAGAGCUCGACACGUGAGAACUCGCCAACCGGUUCACGUGUAUAACCCUCUCAUACCUGCAGCCAGAAAUAAUCAUAUACCGCCGAGCCCACCUUUGCUUUUAUUUGUUUUUCUUCUCUGUUUCUGGCACUAAAAAUUUUUGUUUUCCAAGAGGUUUAACUCACUGAUUUAAAAUAUUUAAUGACUCGUGUACGACCCAU